AGAGUUUGAUCCUGGCUCAGAUUGAACGCUGGCGGAACGCUUUACACAUGCAAGUCGAACGGUAACGCGGAGAGAAGCUUGCUUCUCUCCGGCGACGAGUGGCGAACGGGUGAGUAAUACAUCGGAACGUGUCCGCUCGUGGGGGACAACCAGCCGAAAGGUUGGCUAAUACCGCAUGAGUUCUACGGAAGAAAGAGGGGGACCCGCAAGGGCCUCUCGCGAGCGGAGCGGCCGAUGACUGAUUAGCCGGUUGGUGAGGUAACGGCUCACCAAAGCAACGAUCAGUAGCUGGUCUGAGAGGACGACCAGCCACACUGGGACUGAGACACGGCCCAGACUCCUACGGGAGGCAGCAGUGGGGAAUUUUGGACAAUGGGCGCAAGCCUGAUCCAGCUAUUCCGCGUGUGGGAUGAAGGCCCUCGGGUUGUAAACCACUUUUGUAGAGAACGAAAAGACACCUUUUAAAAAAGGGUGUUGCUGACGGUACUCUAAGAAUAAGCACCGGCUAACUACGUGCCAGCAGCCGCGGUAAUACGUAGGGUGCGAGCGUUAAUCGGAAUUACUGGGCGUAAAGGGUGCGCAGGCGGUUGAGUAAGACAGAUGUGAAAUCCCCGAGCUUAACUCGGGAAUGGCAUAUGUGACUGCUCGACUAGAGUGUGUCAGAGGGAGGUGGAAUUCCACGUGUAGCAGUGAAAUGCGUAGAUAUGUGGAAGAACACCGAUGGCGAAGGCAGCCUCCUGGGACAUAACUGACGCUCAGGCACGAAAGCGUGGGGAGCAAACAGGAUUAGAUACCCUGGUAGUCCACGCCCUAAACGAUGUUAACUAGUUGUUGGGAAGUAAAAUUCUCAGUAACGCAGCCAUGGACGGAAUU
rnacentral:rRNA from 1 species